rnacentral:rRNA from 1 species
GCAUCCUUCGGGGUGAGUGGCAGACGGGUGAGUAACACGUGGGAACGUACCCUUCGAUCUGGGAUAACUUCGGGAAACUGGAGCUAAUACCGGAUACGCCCUUUUGGGGAAAGGUUUACUGUCGAAGGAUCGGCCCGCGUCUGAUUAGCUAGUUGGUGGGGUAACGGCCCACCAAGGCGACGAUCAGUAGCUGGUCUGAGAGGAUGAUCAGCCACACUGGGACUGAGACACGGCCCAGACUCCUACGGGAGGCAGCAGUGGGGAGUAUUGGACAAUGGGCGCAAGCCUGAUCCAGCCAUGCCGCGUGAGUGAUGAAGGCCUUAGGGUUGUAAAGCUCUUUUGUCCGGGACGAUAAUGACGGUACCGGAAGAAUAAGCCCCGGCUAACUUCGUGCCAGCAGCCGCGGUAAUACGAAGGGGGCUAGCGUUGCUCGGAAUCACUGGGCGUAAAGGGCGCGUAGGCGGCUUUUCAAGUCGGGGGUGAAGGCCUGUGGCUCAACCACAGAAUUGCCUUCGAUACUGGAAAGCUUGAGUUCGGUAGAGGUUGGUGGAACUGCGAGUGUAGAGGUGAAAUUCGUAGAUAUUCGCAAGAACACCGGUGGCGAACGGCCAACUGGACCGACACUGACGCUGAGGCGCGAAAGCGUGGGGAGCAACAGGAUUAGAUACCCUGGUAGUCCACGCCGUAAACGAUGAUGCCAGCUGUUGGGGUGCUUGCA